UACGGAAGGAGCAGGGGGAAUAUUGCACAAUGGGCGCAAGCCUGAUGCAGCCAUGCCGCGUGUAUGAAGAAGGCCUUCGGGUUGUAAAGUACUUUCAGUCGUGAGGAAGGUGUUAAGGUUAAUAACCUUAGCAAUUGACGUUAGCGACAGAAGAAGCACCGGCUAACUCCGUGCCAGCAGCCGCGGUAAUACGGAGGGUGCGAGCGUUAAUCGGAAUUACUGGGCGUAAAGGGCACGCAGGCGGUUAAUUAAGUUGGAUGUGAAAUCCCCGGGCUUAACCUGGGAAUGGCAUUCAAGACUGGUUAGCUAGAGUCUUGUAGAGGGGGUAGAAUUCCAUGUGUAGCGGUGAAAUGCGUAGAGAUGUGGAGGAAUACCGGUGGCGAAGGCGGCCCCUGGACAAAGACUGACGCUCAUGUGCGAAAGCGUGGGGAGCAAACAGGGAUUAGAUACC
rnacentral:rRNA from 1 species